rnacentral:rRNA from 1 species
GUGUCAGCCGCCGCGGUAAUACGGAGGGUGCAAGCGUUGUCCGGAUUUAUUGGGUGUAAAGGGUGUGCAGGCGGGACGGUAAGUCAGAGGUGAAAGCCCGCAGCUUAACUGUGGAAUUGCCUUUGAUACUGCCGACCUUGAGUCCCGGAGAGGUGGCUGGAAUUCGUGGUGUAGCGGUGAAAUGCGUAGAUAUCACGAGGAACACCAAAGGCGUAGGCAGGUCACUGGACGGGUACUGACGCUGAGGCACGAAAGCGUGGGGAGCAAACAGGAUUAGAUACCCUGGUAGUCCACGCUGUAAACGAUGGAUGCUCGGUGUCGCCUCCUUAUGGGGGCGGUGCCUAAGCUAACGCGAUAAGCAUCCCACCUGGGGAGUACGCUCGCAAGAGUGAA